CUCAUAGCUCAACUAUGAAACUGCCAUUGAUACUGCAUGUCUUGAGUGAGGUAGAAGUAGCUGGAAUAAGUAGUGUAGCGGUGAAAUGCAUAGAUAUUACUUAGAACACCAAUUGCGAAGGCAGGUUACUAUGUCUUAACUGACGCUGAUGGACGAAAGCGUGGGGAGCGAACAGGAUUAGAUACCCUGGUAGUCCACGCUGUAAACGAUGCUAACUCGUUUUUGGGUUUUCGGAUUCAGAGACUAAGCGAAAGUGAUAAGUUAGCCACCUGGGGAGUACGAACGCAAGUUUGAAACUCAAAGGAAUUGACGGGGGCCCGCACAAGCGGUGGAUUAUGUGGUUUAAUUCGAUGAUACGCGAGGAACCUUACCAAGGCUUAAAUGGGAAUUGACAGACGCAGAAAUGUGUUUUUCUUCGGACAAUUUUCAAGGUGCUGCAUGGUUGUCGUCAGCUCGUGCCGUGAGGUGUUAGGUUAAGUCCUGCAACGAGCGCAACCCCUGUCACUAGUUGCCAUCAUUAAGUUGGGGACUCUAGUGAGACUGCCUACGCAAGUAGAGAGGAAGGUGGGGAUGACGUCAAAUCAUCACGGCCCUUACGCCUUGGGCCACACACGUAAUACAAUGGCCGGUACAGAGGGCAGCUACACAGCGAUGUGAUGCAAAUCUCGAAAGCCGGUCUCAGUUCGGAUUGGAGUCUGCAACUCGACUCUAUGAAGCUGGAAUCGCUAGUAAUCGCGCAUCAGCCAUGGCGCGGUGAAUACGUUCCCGGGCCUUGUACACACCGCCCGUCAAGCCAUGGAAGUCUGGGGUACCUGAAGUCGGUGACCGUAAAAGGAGCUG
rnacentral:rRNA from 1 species